AUUGAACGCUAGCGGGAUGCCUUACACAUGCAAGUCGAACGGCAGCGCGGACUUCGGUCUGGCGGCGAGUGGCGAACGGGUGAGUAAUGUAUCGGAACGUGCCCAGUAGCGGGGGAUAACUACUCGAAAGAGUAGCUAAUACCGCAUACGCCCUACGGGGGAAAGGGGGGGAUCGCAAGACCUCUCACUAUUGGAGCGGCCGAUAUCGGAUUAGCUAGUUGGUGAGGUAAAGGCUCACCAAGGCGACGAUCCGUAGCUGGUUUGAGAGGACGACCAGCCACACUGGGACUGAGACACGGCCCAGACUCCUACGGGAGGCAGCAGUGGGGAAUGUUGGACAAUGGGGGCAACCCGGAUUCAGCCAUUCCGCGUGUGCGAUGAAGGCCUUCGGGUUGUAAAGCACUUUUGGCAGGAAAGAAAUCGCACGGAUUAAUACUCUGUGUGGAUGACGGUACCUGCAGAAUAAGCACCGGCUAACUACGUGCCAGCCGCCGCAGUAA
rnacentral:rRNA from 1 species